UACAGAGGGUGCAAGCGUUAUCCGGAAUUAUUGGGCGUAAAGAGCUCGUAGGCGGUUUGUCGCGUCUGCCGUGAAAGUCCGGGGCUCAACUCCGGAUCUGCGGUGGGUACGGGCAGACUAGAGUGAUGUAGGGGAGACUGGAAUUCCUGGUGUAGCGGUGAAAUGCGCAGAUAUCAGGAGGAACACCGAUGGCGAAGGCAGGUCUCUGGGCAUUAACUGACGCUGAGGAGCGAAAGCAUGGGGAGCGAACAGG
rnacentral:rRNA from 1 species